rnacentral:rRNA from 1 species
AACGAACGCUGGCGGCAUGCUUAACACAUGCAAGUCGAACGCAAGGCUUCGGCCUUGAGUGGCGCACGGGUGAGUAGCGCGUGGGAACCUGCCCUCUUGUGGGGGAUAACCGAGGGAAACUUCGGCUAAUACCGCAUACGCCGGGAAACCGGGAAAGAUUUAUCGCAGGAGGAGGGGCCCGCGUCGGAUUAGCUUGUUGGUGGGGUAACGGCCUACCAAGGCAGUGAUCCGUAGCUGGUCUGAGAGGAUGAUCAGCCACACUGGGACUGAGACACGG